rnacentral:rRNA from 1 species
AUUGAACGCUGGCGGCAUGCCUUACACAUGCAAGUCGAACGGUAACGGGCCUUCGGGUGCCGACGAGUGGCGAACGGGUGAGUAAUACAUCGGAACGUGCCCGAUCGUGGGGGAUAACGAGGCGAAAGCUUUGCUAAUACCGCAUACGAUCUACGGAUGAAAGCAGGGGACCGCAAGGCCUUGCGCGGACGGAGCGGCCGAUGGCAGAUUAGGUAGUUGGUGGGAUAAAAGCUUACCAAGCCGACGAUCUGUAGCUGGUCUGAGAGGAUGAUCAGCCACACUGGGACUGAGACACGGCCCAGACUCCUACGGGAGGCAGCAGUGGGGAAUUUUGGACAAUGGGCGCAAGCCUGAUCCAGCCAUGCCGCGUGCAGGAUGAAGGCCUUCGGGUUGUAAACUGCUUUUGUACGGAACGAAAAGCCUUCUUUUAAUACAGGAGGGUCAUGACGGUACCGUAAGAAUAAGCACCGGCUAACUACG